GCCCGGGCGGCUCAGUCGGUUGAGCAUCUGACUUCGGCCCAGGUCACGAUCUCACGGUCCGUGGGUUCAAGCCCCGCGUCGGGCU
rnacentral:tRNA from 1 species